CUGGCUCAGGAUGAACGCUGGCGGCGUGCUUAACACAUGCAAGUCGAACGGGUUUAUAAGUUGGAGGCUUCGGCCAAAGACUUAUAAGCUAGUGGCGGACGGGUGAGUAACGCGUGGAGAACCUGCCCCAUGCAGGGGGAUAACAGUGAGAAAUCACUGCUAAUACCGCAUAAGCGCACGAGGCCGCAUGGCCCUGUGUGAAAAAACUCCGGUGGCAUGGGAUGGCUCCGCGUUGGAUCAGCCAGUUGGCGGGGUAACGGCCCACCAAAGCAUCGAUCCAUAGCCGGCCUGAGAGGGUGAACGGCCACAUUGGGACUGAGACACGGCCCAGACUCCUACGGGAGGCAGCAGUGGGGAAUAUUGCACAAUGGGGGAAACCCUGAAUGCAGCGACGCCGCGUGAAGGAAGAAGUAUCUCGGUAUGUAAACUUCUAUCGACAGGGAAGAUAAUGACGGUACCUGAAUAAGAAGCCCCGGCUAACUACGUGCCAGCCGCCGC
rnacentral:rRNA from 1 species